GCUUCACAGAUCAUAACGACCUCCAUUCCUGUAGGACAUCUUGCUAUUUGGGGGUUAGACUUGGACUUAGGCCACAUUUAAUAGCCCCUCCUGAAUAACUCUCCCCUUAAACAAGGUCAGCCUAAGCCUGCUGUGGGUACAUCCUGAUUGGACUGGGGAAGACACGAACUCCUGCAGUGCCUCUGCCCCAUGAAUGCUUUGUGGAAAUUUGCUCAUCUUGCAGUAAAGAAUUGCACAAGUUGAUAAAAGCUAAAAAUAACAGCAGACAGCUGUCCAUCGCGUUGGCUUUAGGAUGAGUCAUGGAAAAGCCAAAGAGUAUUGUCAGCAUAGAAGUUAUAUGGCUUUUACUUCAUUUGGAUAUGCUCUGAAAUGUGUGAAAUAGUCUCAUGAAAGCA